GCCGGGCGUGGUGGCGGGCGCCUGUAAUCCCAGCUACUCAGGAGGCUGAGACAGGAGAAUUGCUUGAACCCAGGAGGUGGAGGUUGCAGUGAGCCGAGAUCAUGCCACUGCACUCCAGCCUGGGCGACAGAGCAAGACUCUGUCUCAA
rnacentral:SRP_RNA from 1 species